GAUGAACGCUAGCGGCAGGCUUAAUACAUGCAAGUCGAACGGGAUUCGGGGUAGCAAUACUUUGAUGAGAGUGGCGCACGGGUGCGUAACGCGUAUGCAACCUACCUUUAACAGGGGAAUAGCCCCGAGAAAUCGGGAUUAAUACUCCGUAACAUUGCGGUGUGGCAUCACACUGCACUUAAAGCUGAGGCGGUUAAAGAUGGGCAUGCGUGACAUUAGCUAGUUGGUGAGGUAACGGCUCACCAAGGCAACGAUGUCUAGGGGUCCUGAGAGGGUUAUCCCCCACACUGGUACUGAGACACGGACCAGACUCCUACGGGAGGCAGCAGUAAGGAAUAUUGGUCAAUGGGCGCAAGCCUGAACCAGCCAUGCCGCGUGCAGGAAGACGGCCCUAUGGGUUGUAAACUGCUUUUGUCAGGGAAUAAACCCCCGCUCGUGAGCGGGGCUGAAGGUACCUGAAGAAUAAGCAUCGGCUAACUCCGUGCCAGCAGCCGCGGUAAUACGGAGGAUGCAAGCGUUAUCCGGAUUCAUUGGGUUUAAAGGGUGCGCAGGCGGAUUGGUAAGUCAGGGGUGAAAUCCCACAGCUCAACUGUGGAACUGCCUUUGAUACUGUCAGUCUAGAG
rnacentral:rRNA from 1 species